rnacentral:rRNA from 1 species
GUAAACGGCGGCCGUAACUAUAACGGUCCUAAGGUAGCGAAAUUCCUUGUCGGGUAAGUUCCGACCUGCACGAAUGGCGUAAUGAUGGCCAGGCUGUCUCCACCCGAGACUCAGUGAAAUUGAACUCGCUGUGAAGAUGCAGUGUACCCGCGGCAAGACGGAAAGACCCCGUGAACCUUUACUAUAGCUUGACACUGAACACUGGUCCUUGAUGUGUAGGAUAGGUGGGAGGCUUUGAAGCGUGGACGCCAGUCUGCGUGGAGCCGUCCUUGAAAUACCACCCUUUAAUGGCUGGUGUUCUAACGUAGACCCGUGAUCCGGGUUGCGGACAGUGUCUGGUGGGUAGUUUGACUGGGGCGGUCUCCUCCCAAAGAGUAACGGAGGAGCACGAAGGUUAGCUAAUCCUGGUCGGACAUCAGGAGGUUAGUGCAAUGGCAUAAGCUAGCUUGACUGCGAGCGUGACGGCGCGAGCAGGUGCGAAAGCAGGUCAUAGUGAUCCGGUGGUUCUGAAUGGAAGGGCCAUCGCUCAACGGAUAAAAGGUACUCCGGGGAUAACAGGCUGAUACCGCCCAAGAGUUCAUAUCGACGGCGGUGUUUGGCACCUCGAUGUCGGCUCAUCACAUCCUGGGGCUGAAGUAGGUCCCAAGGGUAUGGCUGUUCGCCAUUUAAAGUGGUACGCGAGCUGGGUUUAGAACGUCGUGAGACAGUUCGGUCCCUAUCUGCCGUGGGCGCUGGAGAAUUGAGGGGGGCUGCUCCUAGUACGAGAGGACCGGAGUGGACGCAUCACUGGUGUUCGGGUUGUCAUGCCAAUGGCACUGCCCGGUAGCUAAAUGCGGAAGAGAUAAGUGCUGAAAGCAUCUAAGCACGAAACUUGCCCCGAGAUGAGUUCUCCCUGACUCCUUGAGAGUCCUGAAGGAACGUUGAAGACGACGACGUUGAUAGGCCGGGUGUGUAAGCGCAGCGAUGCGUUGAGCUAACCGGUACUAAUGAACCGUGAGGCUUAACCUU